GCCGCGGUAAUACGGGGGGUGCAAGCGUUGCUCGGAAUCACUGGGCGUAAAGCGUCCGCAGGCGGCUUGAUAAGUCGGGUGUGAAAGCCCUGGGCUCAACCUGGGAAUGGCAUUGGAUACUGGCAGGCUAGAGUGCGGUAGAGGGCAGUGGAAUUCCCGGUGUAGCAGUGAAAUGCGUAGAGAUCGGGAGGAACAUCUGUGGCGAAGGCGACUGCCUGGACCAGCACUGACACUGAGGCACGAAAGCGUGGGGAGCAAACAG
rnacentral:rRNA from 1 species